GGCUGGUCCUAUGGUAAUGAGUUAUCAGAAUUUAUUAACGUUAAUGUCAUUAAAGUUGGUAUACAACACCCCACUGCUAAAUUUGACUGAAAG
ensembl:misc_RNA Y_RNA Y RNA